GAUGAACGCUGGCGGCGUGCCUAAUACAUGCAAGUCGAGCGAACGGACGAGAAGCUUGCUUUUCUGAUGUUAGCGGCGGACGGGUGAGUAACACGUGGAUAACCUACCUAUAAGACUGGGAUAACUUCGGGAAACCGGAGCUAAUACCGGAUAAUAUUUUGAACCGCAUGGUUCAAAAGUGAAAGACGGUCUUGCUGUCACUUAUAGAUGGAUCCGCGCUGCAUUAGCUAGUUGGUAAGGUAACGGCUUACCAAGGCAACGAUGCAUAGCCGACCUGAGAGGGUGGUCGGCCACACAGGAACUGAGACACGGUCCAGACUCCUACGGGAGGCAGCAGUAGGGAAUCUUCCGCAAUGGGCGAAAGCCUGACGGAGCAACGCCGCGUGAGUGAUGAAGGUCUUCGGAUCGUAAAACUCUGUUAUUAGGGAAGAACAUAUGUGUAAGUAACUGUGCACAUCUUGACGGUACCUAAUCAGAAAGCCACGGCUAACUACGUG
rnacentral:rRNA from 1 species